UUUAGGCUUAGGCUUAGGCUUAGUCUUAGGCUCAGUCUCAGGGUUAGGUUUAGGCUUAGGCUCAGGUUCAGACUUAGGUUCAGGCUUAGCCUAUUGCUUAGGCUUAGGCUUAGGCUUAGGCUUAGGCUCCGGCUUAGGAUUAGGCUUAGGCUUAGGUUCAGGCUCAGGGUUAGGCUUAGGGUAAAGCUUAGG
ensembl:ncRNA K10G6.6 ncRNA